CCUACGGGAGGCAGCAGUGGGGAAUCUUGCACAAUGGAGGAAACUCUGAUGCAGCGAUGCCGCGUGAGUGAAGAAGGCCCUUGGGUUGUAAAGCUCUUUUGUCGGGAAAGAUAAUGACUGUACCCGAAGAAUAAGGUCCGGCUAACUUCGUGCCAGCAGCCGCGGUAAUACGAAGGGACCUAGCGUAAUUCGGAAUUACUGGGCGUAAAGCGCGCGUAGGCGGUUAAGUAAGUUAAUUGUGAAAGCCCAAAGCUCAACUUUGGAAUUGCAAUUAAAACUAUUUAGCUAGAGUUUAUCAGAGGAAAGCGGAAUACAUAGUGUAGAGGUGAGAUUCGUAGAUAUUAUGUAGAACACCAGUUGCGAAGGCGGCUUUCUGGGAUAACACUGACGCUGAGGUGCGAAAGUAUGGGUAGCGAAGAGGAUUAGAUACCCUCGUAGUCCAUACCGUAAACGAUGAUUGUUAGAUGUUGGAAAUUUAUUUUCAGUAUCACAGCUAACGCGUUAAACAAUCCGCCUGGGGAGUACGACCGCAAGGUUAAAACUCAAAUGAAUUGACGG
rnacentral:rRNA from 1 species